UACGGCGAGUGAGCGGCAACAGCUCAAAUUUGAAAUCUGGCUGCCUCUGGGCGGUCCGAGUUGUAAUUUGAAGAGGAUGCUUUUGGCGAGGUGCCUUCCGAGUGCCCUGGAACGGGACGCCACAGAGGGUGAGAGCCCCGUAUGGUUGGACGCCGAGCCUCUGUAAAGCUCCUUCGACGAGUCGAGUAGUUUGGGAAUGCUGCUCAAAAUGGGAGGUAAACCCCUUCUAAAGCUAAAUACUGGCCAGAGACCGAUAGCGCACAAGUAGAGUGAUCGAAAGAUGAAAAGCACUUUGAAAAGAGAGUUAAAUAGCACGUGAAAUUGUUGAAAGGGAAGCGCUUGCGACCAGACUUGUGCUCGUCGAAUCAGCCGCCCCUCGCGGGCGGCGCACUUCGGCGGGCUCAGGCCAGCAUCAGUUCGCUGCAGGGGGAGAAAGGCGGUGGGAAUGUGGCUCUUCGGAGUGUUAUAGCCCGCCGCGCAAUACCCCUCGGCGGACUGAGGACCGCGCAUCUGCAAGGAUGCU
rnacentral:rRNA from 1 species